AACGCACGAGACCUGCGGACCUCGGAGGGAUCAUUAGUGAACGCCCUCACGGGCUUAUAACUAUUCCAAACCUCUGUGAACCGUGCCCUUCGGGGCUAUUUUACAAACAUGGUGUAAUGAACGUCAUAUAUCAUAACAAAACAAAACUUUUAACAAUGGAUCUCU
rnacentral:misc_RNA from 1 species